UAUCAUGAGUGGAAAUCAUGGUAGCAGUC
rnacentral:piRNA from 1 species